GGAUGCGAUCAUACCAGCACUAAUGCACUGGAUCCCAUCAGAACUCCGAAGUUAAGCGUGCUUGGCGAGAGUAGUANNNN
rnacentral:rRNA from 1 species